GUUCGGGCUUGAUGUCAUGAUGGAUUAUAUUCUUCUCUUCCAGAUGGUUAAGGCCCUGAGAAAUCAAGAAAGCAAAAUCCUCCAUGUUUUGAUGAGGCCUUAUGAUAAAAGGCCCCAUAGAAGUCGACGAUAUUCCGGUGGCCAGAUACAAUUUGCAGGAUUUCGACUUCUUUCUUGAUCUCCUGUUGCUUCUAGUUUCAAACAAAAGAAACAAGGACUAUGUAUAGUGAAGCCUGGAUCUUUGCUUUAGUCUGCA